CGCCAGCUCCCCCCCCCCGAUGCCCACGCGUCACCCGGCUGCACUGGCUCACCGAUGUGGUUGUCCUCGAUGUGCUCGAUGAGCUCCACCAGGGUUGGAAAGUGAAGUCCGCAGCCCCCGAAGCGGCAGAAAGAUGUCUGCGGGAAAGAGCCCAGCGUCCCUCUUCAAGAAUGAAAGUUGAAUAGCUGGAGCUGGGAUUGAGACUCAACACAGUCAGAUCCUGGGUUCCAGUGCUGAGGCCUGCUUGGGUGCAAAACUGGCUGAGGAAUUCUGGGAAUUGAAGUCCACAAGUCUUAAAGUUGCCAAGCUUGAGAACCCCUGCUCUAGUGUCAGAGAUUUAGUUCUCACAGACAACAUGUAACUAUUUUCAAAUGUUGCAAUGUGAGGCAAGGAAAGGAACCAGAAUGAAGUGGUGGCAGAAGAAAUAACGAGUUUAGGGAACCAGCAAGAUUUCAUAACACUUUUGACAACCUAGAAAGAAAACAAUUUUUUAAAAAACUGCACAUACACAUACCUUCAUAUACAUGCAAGGGGAUUAAAAUAUAUAUUUGCAAAGGGAUGUAUGCAUAUGAGAUGAUUAAAAUGUACACUUGGAAAAACUACAAAAGCAUCGAGGAAAAUAAAUUAUUAUAGCAG